AACGAACGCUGGCGGCAUGCCUAACACAUGCAAGUCGAACGAGACCUUCGGGUCUAGUGGCGCACGGGUGCGUAACGCGUGGGAACCUGCCCUUAGGUUCGGAAUAACUCCCCGAAAGGGGUGCUAAUACCGGAUAAUGUCUUCGGACCAAAGAUUUAUCGCCUUUGGAUGGGCCGGCGUUGGAUUAGCUAGUUGGUAGGGUAAAAGCCUACCAAGGCGACGAUCCAUAGCUGGUCUGAGAGGAUGAUCAACCACACUGGGACUGAGACACGGCCCAGACUCCUACGGGAGGCAGCAGUGGGGAAUAUUGGACAAUGGGCGAAAGCCUGAUCCAGCAAUGCCGCGUGAGUGAUGAAGGCCUUAGGGUUGUAAAGCUCUUUUACCCGGGAUGAUAAUGACAGUACCGGGAGAAUAAGCUCCGGCUAACUCCGUG
rnacentral:rRNA from 1 species